rnacentral:rRNA from 1 species
UACGUAGGUGGCAAGCGUUGUCCGGAUUUACUGGGCGUAAAGAGCGCGCAGGCGGUCGUUCAAGUCGCGUGUGAAAGCCCCCCGGCUCAACUGGGGAGGGUCACGCGAUACUGAUCGACUCGAAGGCAGGAGAGGGUAGUGGAAUUCCCGGUGUAGUGGUGGAAAUGCGUAGAUAUCGGGAGGAACACCAGUGGCGAAGGCGACUACCUGGCCUGUUCUUGACGCUGAGGCGCGAAAGCUAGGGGAGCAAACGGG